rnacentral:rRNA from 1 species
GGCCAUUACUGACGCUGAGGAGCGAAAGCGUGGGGAGCGAACAGGAUUAGAUACCCUGGUAGUCCACGCCGUAAACGGUGGGAACUAGGUUUUGGCGGGACAUUCCACGUCGUCGGUGCGCAGCUAACGCAAUUAAGUUCCCCGCCUGGGGAGUACGGCCGCAGCUAAAACUCAAAGGAAUUGACGGCGGGCCCGCACAACAGCGGAGCAUGUGGCUUAAUUCGCCAACGGCGAAGAACUUUACCAAGGCUUGACAUUCGCCCGGAAAAAGGCAUCAGAAGAUUUGUGACCCCCCUGGGUCGUGACAGGUGGUGCAUGGCUGUCCGUCAGCUCGUGCUCCGUGAGAUGGUUGGGUUAGUCCCGGCAACGAGCGCAACCCUUGUUCUGUGUUGCCAGCAUGCCCUUCGGGGUGAUGGGGACUCACAGGAGACCGCCGGGGGUCAACUCGGGAGGAAGGUGGGGACGACGUCAAGUCAUCAUGCCCCUUAUGUCUUGGGCUGCACACGUGCUACAAUGGCCGGUACAAUGAGCUGCGAUAACCGUGAGGUGGAGCGAAUCUCAAAAGCCGGUCUCAGUUUCGGAUUGGGGUCUGCAACUCGACCCAUGAAGUCGGAGUUGCUAGUAAUCGCAGAUCAGCAUUGGCUGCGGUGAAUACGUUCCGGGCCUUGUACACACCGCCCGUCACGUCACGAAAAGUCGGUAACACCCGAAGCCGGUGGCCCAACCCUCUUGUGGGAGGGAGCUGUCGAAGGUGGGACUGGGCGAUUGGGACGAAGUCGUAACAAGGUAGCCGUACCGGAAGGUGCGGCUGGAUCACCUCCUUUCU